CUGGGCCGAGUAACAACAUUGGUAGGAGGCGCCAUUUUGGUUUCUUAAUCUUUUAGGAUCAGCUUCUCGACAGCAAAUCUGUUUCCAUCGGGAUCUCUAAAGCAUAAUGACUGAUUCCAAGUACUUUACAACGACCAAAAAAGGGGAGAUUUUUGAGCUCAAGGCUGAGCUGAACAGUGA